rnacentral:rRNA from 1 species
AGCCGCGGUAAUACGAAGGGGGCUAGCGUUGCUCGGAAUUACUGGGCGUAAAGGGAGCGUAGGCGGACAUUUAAGUCAGGGGUGAAAUCCCGAGGCUCAACCUCGGAACUGCCUUUGAUACUGGCGAUCUUGAGUAUGAGAGAGGUAUGUGGAACUCCGAGUGUAGAGGUGAAAUUCGUAGAUAUUCGGAAGAACACCAGUGGCGAAGGCGACAUACUGGCUCAUUACUGACGCUGAGGCGCGAAAGCGUGGGGAGCAAACA